rnacentral:snoRNA from 1 species
GUGACGAAGCUUACAAGGGCGGAUAGGUGAAGACGGCUGAGCAACUGA